AAAUUUCGAGCCUAUUGCUGGUUGCUACGAGCUUAUACUCUCUAGAUACUUGUGUCUAUUGCAUUGGCAUUGUGGAUUCUUACUCUGAACUAUGAUGAUCACAAUCGUCUUUCUAGGUGAGCGAUAUCAAGAUGAACUAUCACAAAAUUGAUUUAUUUUGGCCAAAAUGUAAGGUUGUUGAGUUUUUAGGGUUAUUUUACGGGGAUGCCCUCACUUAUCCAUGAUUUGCAAAUGAAUCCUUCCAUUUUUCGUAUUUGCAAGAUUGCAUAUGCA
rnacentral:lncRNA from 1 species